rnacentral:rRNA from 1 species
CCUACGGGAGGCAGCAGUGGGGGAUAUUGCACAAUGGGGGAAACCCUGAUGCAGCGACGCCGCGUGUGGGAAGACGGUCCUCUGGAUUGUAAACCACUUUCCCUAGGGACUAAGAUGACGGUACCGAGGGCGGAAUCUCCGGCUAACUACGUGACAGCAGCGGCGAAAAUACGGAGGGCGCAAGCGUUGUCCGGAUUUACGGGGUGUAAAGGGGGCUUAGGCGGGAUGGCAAGUUGCGUGUAAAAUCUACGGGUUCACCUGGGAGUUGCAGUUGAAACUGCAAUUCUUGAGUGAAGUAGAGGCAGGCGGAAUUCCUGGUGUAGCGGUGAAAUGCUUAGAUAUUAGGAGGAACUCCAGUCGCGAAGGC